CUGCGACCGGGCCCAUCAUUCCAUGGGGUCUGUAUAGGAUCAGGAUGUUUAGAUAAUCCCUCUGUAAUUUGAGUAAUGGGGAAAGUUUAUCAUACUCUCACUGUUAAAAUAAUUAAUUCAAGUACUUGAUUUCAACUAUUAAUCAAAUAUUAGCUGUUAAGCGUUUUGUGACUUCAUCUAUUUAGGAGGUUUAAAAUAGCUUUUGUUCAGACUUCUAUUAAACAUGGGGCCAAUGUUGGAACUACCAUGGUCAUGGUGAGUUUCAAAUCAGACUGUGUGUCAAUGAGUGUAUGAUAGUGUAUGUAUCAGAGAGAGCAUAUAAGGGACCCUGCGAUUCCUAGUUACGCUCCUGUUUCCAGCACAAACUCCUCACAGGCAUUACAUCUAGUGAGAUGCAUAGACCAGUCUGUAGGAUAUGCUAUAAAUUAGCAGCUUCCUAUAAUUUCCUCUUAACUUGAAACUUAAAAACCAACAAGGCAGCUUAUUUAUGAGGGAGACCUAUUACUUGACCUUUGAGGGGAAGACAUGGUCAGCUGCAAAAAACAAGGCUGUGCAAAUUCAUGAAAAACUAACUAAAAAAGCAACCAAGAAGUGGAGAACAAAAAAUAAAAAUAAAAAGUGUAUUUUCCAAAAUGAUGACAUUAGGGGGAUAAUAUCCAAUAUGUUCUAGAGAAUGAUCUGCUGCAAGUUGUGGGUUGUAAGACAGCUGGUGGGUGAGUAGUUUGAUGUUUGCAUGCAGACUCUAGCAUUUAGUUAGAAAUUGAG